GCCAGCGGCGGCAGCACGUUGAAUGCACCGGCUUCCGAAGGAUCACUGAAGUUAAUCAACGUUGCGCGUGGCUGGUAUCCAGGUGGGUGACCAUCUGGACAAUCGCGUGCUGCUUUUC
rnacentral:rRNA from 1 species